rnacentral:misc_RNA from 1 species
UCUCCGUAGGUGAACCUGCGGAGGGAUCAUUACAGAGUUCAUGCCCUACCGGGUUGAUCUCCCACCCUAUGUUAUUAUUACUUUGUUGCUUUGGCGGGCCGUAGGCCCCGGCCCGACUACCGGCCCAGGCUGGUAAGCGCCCGCCAGAGGACCCAAAACCCUGAAUAUUAGUGUCGUCUGAGUACUAUAUAAUAGUUAAAACUUUCAACAACGGAUCUCUUGGUUCUG